rnacentral:rRNA from 1 species
UACGGGGGGGGCAAGCGUUGUUCGGAAUUACUGGGCGUAAAGGGCCAGUAGGCGGCCAACUAAGUCGGAUGUGAAAUCCCCAGGCUUAACCUGGGAACUGCAUCCGAUACUGGAUGGCUUGAAUUCGGGAGAGGGAUGCAGAAUUCCGGGUGUAGCGGUGAAAUGCGUAGAUAUCUGGAGGAAUACCGGUGGCGAAGGCGGCAUCCUGGACCGGUAUUGACGCUGAGGCGCGAAAGCUAGGGGAGCAAACGGG